AACUCAUCAUAAUGACUAUAUAUGUAUGCUUCACCAGGUUUUUGGUGGCGAUGCUACAACAAAUCGGGUUUUACAAGCAUUCUGUGAUAUGGAACUCCAUCCGACACCGCCAAUUGGUGUGAUGCCUUUGGGAACACAAGUUAACAUUUCAAUUUCUCUUGGAUGGGGAAAUCAACUUUCUCAUACAGAGUCUAGGCCUGUAGUUUACUUGACUAAAUUAUUGGAUGCUGAAGAGAUAUUGAUAGACAGUUGGAAUUUUGUAAUGAGGACAUCAAUUCCAAAUUGUCUUGAGAUAUCAAAUACUCUUCACGUUCAACAUGUUUCCAAAGACGACUUAUUGCUCAUG